AGGAGUGCAGCAAAAGCUGUCCCCUCAUUCUGGUGAAAAAGACAAUGACUUGGAAGCCAGGGGUGCUGCUUCUGAGGUACUUCAAGCAGAGCAAGUUGAGGAUAUUGAAGUGGUGGAUCAAGGAGCUGCAGAUCUUCUGAGAGAAAUUGGCAGCAACAAUAGCAGUGUUGUCACUCCUUCAGUUAUUGUGGUGAACCAACCACCUGAACCAGUGAACCAGCCACCUGAACUUGUGAACCAGCUGGCUGAACCGGUGAACCAAUCGCCUCUCUUUAAUUUCUUGUCAUGCCAGAAUGAAAUUAAUCUGGGGUACUCGGUGGGAGCAAGUGGUCAAAGAAAUCACAUUUUCAAGUGCUACAAACGGAGAAGAUUAGCUACUUGUGGAAGUUAAACUGCCUUCUACGAUAAGAGCAAAUAUAAGUUCAGUUGUCAUAGAGCCAAGAGAAAUCUUGUGAGCCUGUUUUUUGACUCUUGAUGGGCUUCAAAUUUUUGUGUAGAAUGUGCAGUCUCCUCUGUAAAUGGUAAAGUAGAAAGGAGUCGCAAGAACUUCAAGUCUCA